rnacentral:rRNA from 1 species
AGUGAACGCUGGCGGUAGGCCUAACACAUGCAAGUCGAACGGCAGCACAGUAAGAGCUUGCUCUUACGGGUGGCGAGUGGCGGACGGGUGAGGAAUACAUCGGAAUCUACUUUUUCGUGGGGGAUAACGUAGGGAAACUUACGCUAAUACCGCAUACGACCUACGGGUGAAUGCAGGGGAUCUUCGGACCUUGCGCGAUUGAAUGAGCCGAUGUCGGAUUAGCUAGUUGGCGGGGUAAAGGCCCACCAAGGCGACGAUCCGUAGCUGGUCUGAGAGGAUGAUCAGCCACACUGGAACUGAGACACGGUCCAGACUCCUACGGGAGGCAGCAGUGGGGAAUAUUGGACAAUGGGCGCAAGCCUGAUCCAGCCAUACCGCGUGAGUGAAGAAGGCCUUCGGGUUGUAAAGCCCUGUUGUUGGGAAAGAAAAGCAGCAGGUUAAUACCCCGCUGUUCUGACGGUACCCAAAGAAUAAGCACCGGCUAACUUCGUG